AAUCAACGCUGGCGGCGUGCCUCAGACAUGCAAGUCGAACGAUUAAACUUUCCUUCGGGGAAGAUAUAGAGUGGCGCACGGGUGAGUAACACGUAAGUAAUCUACCCUUGGGUGGGGAAUAACAUCGGGAAACCGAUGCUAAUACCGCAUAAUGCAGCGGCUUCUUAUGAAGACAGUUGUUAAAGCAUUUAUGUGCCUGAGGAGGAGCUUGCGGCAGAUUAGCAGUUGGUAAGGUAAUGGCUUACCAAGGCGACGAUCUGUAGCCGACCUGAGAGGGUGGUCGGUCACACUGACACUGAAUAACGGGUCAGACUCCUACGGGAGGCAGCAGUCGGGAAUUUUGGGC
rnacentral:rRNA from 1 species